rnacentral:misc_RNA from 1 species
GAUGAAGAACGUAGCGAAUUGCGAUAAGUAAUGUGAAUUGCAGAAUUCAGUGAAUCAUCGAGUCUUUGAACGCACAUUGCGCCCCUUGGUAUUCCGAGGGGCAUGCCUGUUCGAGCGUCAUUAUAACCCCUCAAGCUCAGCUUGGUGUUGGGGCCUGCUGCACUGGCAGCCCUUAAAAUCAGUGGCGGCGCCAUCUGGCUCUAAGCGUAGUAAUUCUUCUCGCUAUGGAGUCCUGGUGGAUGCUUGCCAUCAACCCCCAAUUUUUCUAUGGUUGACCUCGGAUCAGGUAGGGAUACCCGCUGAACUUAAGCAUAUCAAUAAGCGGAGGA